rnacentral:rRNA from 1 species
CAUUAUUGAAUAAACUUGGUUAGGUUGCUGCUGGCUUUUAGGAGCAUGUGCACGCCGACUCCAUCUUUUAACCACCUGUGCACCUUGCGUAGAUGUGAAUAUUUCGAUGAAAACUCGGUUUGAGAAUUGCUGUGUCAAUCAAUGGCCAGCUCUUCUUGUAUUCGUGUCUAUGUUUUUAUAUACCCCAUAUGAAUGUAUUCGAAUGUUGCAAUUGGCCUUGUGCCUUUAAAACAAAUACAACUUUCAACAACGGAUCUCUUGGCUCUCGCAUCGAUGAAGAACGCAGCGAAAUGCGAUAAGUAAUGUGAAUUGCAGAAUUCAGUGAAUCAUCGAAUCUUUGAACGCACCUUGCGCUCCUUGGUAUUCCGAGGAGCAUGCCUGUUUGAGUGUCAUUAAAUUCUCAACCUUUCUAGUUUUCCGACUAGUCAGGCUUGGACUUUGGAAGUUGCUGGCUCAGACUGAAUCAGCUCUUCUUAAAUACAUUAGCAAAGACAUUUGCUGACCAUCAUUGGUAUGAUAAUUAUCUAUAUCAUUGAUAAUCAGUUCUCUUCACAGAGAAGGUCUUGCUUAUAAUGGUCUUAUAAAGACAACUUGACAACUUUGACCUCAAAUCAGGUAGGACUACCC